UGGCACUGGGUGUAUUCCUAAACAGUGGCUUCCUGUUCUGCUCUUCAUGAGACCACCCUGAUAACACAGAACAGGACUGAAGUGUGAACUGGCAUAUCACCACCUGAAAGGCCCGAAAAAUUAGCAUAAAGCAGUGAAAAUUAUAAAGGCAAACUGUCUGACCACAGGAAGCUUGUAAAACAACGUCAGGACGUUCAAAGCACGACAAAAGGUGGAGAAAACAACUUUAAGAAACUCAGUCAAGAAUUACAAAUUAUAGGAAGAGUAAACACGAAAAAAAUGCAUUCCUCAUCCCAAUAUGGGGGAAAAAAGGCCAUCAGGCCUGCAAACUGUUGCCGAGACUACACGCUACGUAAUUUAGAAGAUAUCUAGUUUUCAUUUACAAGAAGGAAACUCCUCC